GUUCCAGAGUGUGGAGUCUUCUCCAUAGCUGGAAGCCUUGGAAGCCGCAUUCCAGGAUUCAGUUCGAGUGUAGGAACCUCGGAAGCCACUUUCUAGGAUUCGGUUCCACAGUGCGGAGGAGACUUCUCCAUAAGUGGGAGCCUGGGAAGCCGCAUUCCAGGGAGGGACAGGCCCGGGACAGCUCACACCUGCCCUCCAGGCCCUGGGCUGUAGGGCUACCUCGCCUGGCCAUGUGCUGGAGGUGCUUUGCAGUGACCCAUCAGGGACAUGGAAGCAGGUCCACCUGAUAGAUGCACGGCCUCCUGCUUGAAGAGCCAACCACACUCCAUGCGGGACAGCACAGCAGCCCUUGGUAGGCAGGAGCCACAGACAGAGGGGUCUGGCCCUGGGAUGCCCACCGUGCCUUUGGGGAGGAGUUGGGAGGACAAGGCAGUGCAGUCCUUCCAGCCCCAGCUACCGCACAGAGAAGACACAGGCUGUGGCGUCACUGGCCACAGAGACGGCCACAGUGGAGGGAGGGCUGAGCCUGGGCCCCACCACCCCGUGCCCACCCCACUCCGGGAUC
rnacentral:lncRNA from 1 species